UCGGGUAUAUUUGAAUUAUUCGUCACAGCCACAGCCCAAAAUACCUAUUACGUGUCCGCGGUCAAGUGUUGUGACCACAGACACGGUAAUGCUCAAAAAUGGAACAUUCUCUUCUGUAAGUAAAUGGAUCGAGCGACGUUCCAUCCAUCCUUUCACAUGGCCACUGUAUCACUAUAGCUAUUCACAUGAGCUACUGCAUGCAAUAAACAUCCACAAACACCGUUUCUUCUUUUGACUGAUAAGGAAAUUUCUAAAGACGAAGGCGAUGCAAGGAUUCAUUCGGAUUAUGCCAAGACGAUUGCGGGGUUGUCCAUGCUAGUGUCCUGGCUGCUGUCACAACGGCUGACGCACCGUUGCCUCGCUGCAUCAUUACCAAGGACUGCCUCCACUUCCCCUGGACAGGCAGGAUGUUGUUGACGUGCUGAGAUUUACAGGCGUUGUUAGCAGCAGAGAUGAUAGAAAUUGCGAUUGAAUCGGCGUCAAUGUUCCUUAAUGCGGCCAUUACGUUUAGGAGAGUGAAUAAUUAGUGAUUUUCCCAAAAGAUAUUUGUGAUUUCUUGUCAAGAACUUGAUGGAUUCAAACAUAUUCUAUAUUAAUGCUAUAUUCACAAACAACUGAAAAACAACGCAUAUUUUGUCUUCUCUGCUUACAUACAUUUUGAUGAUUAUCACUGUUUUAAUCUUGACAACUUUCAUGGUAAACAAAACUGUCUCAUUAAUUGUUUCACGAAGUUCAUUGUCCUUCACUGGUUCAUACUCGUUAUGUAUAAACAUCGGUACACAAGCGACGUGCACCAGCGCUUGUGACGUCAGAAUGAUAUUGUUCCAACAAACUCAAAAGCGAAAGAAAAAACACGCGGUCGGUGACAGUGCGGUAAUUAUCUCAUCCUUUGCGCAUGUGUGCUUCCAAGAAAGUGCAAAGCAGACGAUAAGUAACUUGUUGCAUUGUAAAUACUGACCAAAAUGUGGGAUUUAGUAACCACCAGCUCUCGAUAACUACAAUACGAGUGCCGAAGAAGUGAAACGUGGUUUCAGUCUUUCAAAGGAAUGAUGUCAUCACUUUCCUUGAGUGACUUGGCAAUGUGAACGAGUGACGUGUCAUCUUCCUGGCUUACUUCAUCCUCCUCUCUCCCUGCAUCACAUCAGGUAAAACUGAUGCUGCCUAGCCCGGCAACCAGAAAUUCCGCCAGCAUGGCGGGAUAGGAGUUACCGCCCGGGAAGUAGGCGUGGAAAUGUGGAUGGUGCCAGUGGGUCAUCUGUCCAGACCGUGUCCGUGUCUUUAUACAGAAUUCUGGGGUCCCUAUUGCAAUAGAGUACCGAACAUGGAGCUAUUUUCGAAGUGAAUACGUCACGCGCACAAUUAUGUGUGUAAAAGGCACUAGCGCAAGAACCAGCGAGAACUCCUCGCGUUUGCACUACCCUUCCUAACUUAA